GGAUUUUUUCUAAACGGCCGCAGAAUUUUAACUGUGCUAAGGUAGCAUAAUCAUUUGUCUUUUAAUUGAAGACCGGUAUGAAUGGUUUCACGAAAUUUAACUGUCUCUUCUAUAUUCAAUAUAAUUUAAUCUUAAAGUUAAAAAGCUUUAAUAAAAUAAAAAGACAAAAAGACCCCGUAGAGUUUUAUUUUCAUAAUUUAAAAAAAUUUCAUGAAAAUUUUGUUGGGGCAACUUAGAAAAAAUAAAUUUUUCUUAAAUUUCAAUAUCUAUAAAUUAUCAUUUAUUUAAUAAAACAAAAUAAAUUACCUCGGGGAUAACAGCGUAAUUUUCUUUGAGAGUCCAAAUCGAAAAGAAAAAUUAC
rnacentral:rRNA from 1 species